UUUUUACGGAGAGUUUGAUCCUGGCUCAGGAUGAACGCUGGCGGCGUGCUUAACACAUGCAAGUCGAACGGUGAAGCCAAGCUUGCUUGGUGGAUCAGUGGCGAACGGGUGAGUAACACGUGAGCAACCUGCCCUGGACUCUGGGAUAAGCGCUGGAAACGGCGUCUAAUACUGGAUAUGAGACGUGAUCGCAUGGUCGUGUUUGGAAAGAUUUUUCGGUCUGGGAUGGGCUCGCGGCC
rnacentral:rRNA from 1 species